AUAGCAGCCUAGAGAUGUAGAAUCUCUUAGGCAAGACACGGUGCGGGCAUGGACCUGCCGUUAUGACUGAAAAUUAUGUCUAAACCGGGUAAACGCACCUUGUAUAUUGCCAUGUCAUCUCACCUUCGGCAAAUCAACCCAUGAUGAUACCUAGUCUCCCUCAAAAGUUUGGUGCAUUGUACAUAAUCCAUGUAUGUAAAAUUUGCCAUGUGAUAUAAUGAUGUGUACCUAAAUGAUGUAUACCCAUUGUUUGACUAUGAAUACCCUCUUCCUUUUCUGUACCCAACUUCC